UGCUGGCCUGGUCACUCCCAACUGCCCCCUUUUGCUGGCCUGGUCACUGCUCACUUCCCUCAACUGUCCGUGUGUCCGUCGUGUGUGUCUCCCCCCAGCUUGGUUACCCCAUGCAGCCUGCUGUUCAGUUGUUUGGUUAUACCUCACUAACCUCCCUGCUGGCCUGUCCCAUGCAGCCUGCUGUUCAAUUGUUACUGUGAGGGUGUCCUGACCAAUUUGCAUAUUACCCUUUUAUUAGUAUAGAUUGUGCGAGUAUUCUAUUCUCUAGUGUAAGGUUUUCUUUCUGUUAGUAACAGUAGGCCUCACAAACUAGUUUAUUAAACAGUGAAAAACAUAAAUAUGUCUAGUUUUUGGACAAAGAAAAAAAGACUUCCAAACUUCAAAUCGUGCACAG